rnacentral:rRNA from 1 species
GACGAACGCUGGCGGCGUGCCUAAUACAUGCAAGUAGAACGCUGAAGGAGGAGCUUGCUCUUCUGGAUGAGUUGCGAACGGGUGAGUAACGCGUAGGUAACCUGCCUGGUAGCGGGGGAUAACUAUUGGAAACGAUAGCUAAUACCGCAUAACAGUAGAUGUUGCAUGACAUUUGCUUAAAAGGUGCAAUUGCACCACUACCAGAUGGACCUGCGUUGUAUUAGCUGGUUGGUGGGGUAACGGCUCACCAAGGCGACGAUACAUAGCCGACCUGAGAGGGUGAUCGGCCGCACUGGGACUGAGACACGGCCCAGACUCCUACGGGAGGCAGCAGUAGGGAAUCUUCGGCAAUGGACGGAAGUCUGACCGAGCAACGCCGCGUGAGUGAAGAAGGUUUUCGGAUCGUAAAGCUCUGUUGUAAGAGAAGAACGAGUGUGAGAGUGGAAAGUUCACACUGUGACGGUAUCUUACCAGAAAGGGACGGCUAACUACGUG